UUUAUACCGAUACAUGAAAGUAAACCAAACUAAACCAAUUUUUUAAAGAAAAAUUGAAAAGCUAAACCUAAAACUAAAACCUAGUCUACGUUCUUUCUCUGCCUCUCUUCUUCUUCUUCUCUUGCCCGCCUCUCUUCUCUUCUUGCUUGAAUCUACCUUCAUCACUACAGCUAGCUUACCCUUCCUCUUCCAUUAUGACUUCGUAGGCCUCUUUUUGUGCAUCGCCCGUCAUCUUCGUAACUCCCCGCCGUCUUCAACCUCUUUGUGCGUCGGCUGCCGCCUCUGUCUAUGGAUCAUCAUUACCUCCUCUAUGUCAUCAUUAUUCCACAUCUGUAAACAAAAGCAAUAGAUUUUAUUUUAAAAAGAUGAAAAGAAGAUGAACGCUUAAGUAAAGAUAGACCAAGGGGAGGAGGCGAGGUGUCAUGGUUUCCAGACUUGAGCAGAGGUGGUGAGCUUAAAUCCGUGACGACAGACAGCAAGUUUGAGAGAUCGUGAGAUGAGGAUUGAAGAGAUGGUGAGAGCGGAGGAGACGAGAGAUUGCUAGAGAAGACGAGACGAGAAAUGCAAAAAAAAAAUAUUAAAGUGAAUCACUUAUGCCCC
rnacentral:lncRNA from 1 species